AUGUAAAGCGUAGUUUAUUAUUUCUGAGUGCAGCAACUCAAACACAAUAUCAUCAGCCAUUGUCAUUUGUGUAUAAUU